CCUACGUGUGGCAGCAGUGGGGAAUAUUGGGCAAUGGGCGCAAGCCUGACCCAGCAACGCCGCGUGAAGGAAGAAGGCUUUCGGGUUGUACACUUCUUUUAAGGGGGAAGAGCAGAAGACGGUACCCCUUGAAUAAGCCACGGCUCACUACGUGCCAGCAGCCGCGGUUAUACGUAGGUGGCAAGCGUUGUCCGGAUUUACUGGGUGUAAAGGGCGUGCAGCCGGAGAGUCAAGUCAGAUGUGAAAUCCACGGGCUCAACCCGUGAACUGCCUUUGAAACUGGUUCGAUUGAGAGUCGGAGAGGUAAUCGGAAUUCCUUGUGUAGCGGUGAAAUGCGUAGAUAUAAGGAAGAACACCAGUGGCGAAGGCGGAUUACUGGACGAUAACUGACGGUGAGGCGCGAAAGCGUGGGGAGCAAACAGGAUUAGAUACCCUAGUAGUC
rnacentral:rRNA from 1 species